AACAAGCUAUCGGACACCAUGACAACUUACUCACCAUCGUAAAAAGACGGAAGUUACGGUGGUACGGCCAUGUUACGAGAUCAUCAGGCCUUGCAAAGACGGUGCUACAAGGAACUGUACAAGGAUCUCGCAAACGAGGAAGGCAGAAAAAGAGGUGGGAGGACAACAUCAGAGAGUGGACCAACCUGGAUUUCGCAAAGUCCCAGAGAGAGGCAGAAAACAGAGACGGUUGGAAAGAAACGGUGAAAGGGUCUUCACGGGCGCCCCAACGACCACAACCGAGGUCAAGGGAUAGGUGACAGGUGUGACUCUGACUGAUUAAUAAGACUUUGUCUUGUCAACAUAGAUCACUGAAUUUGAAAAUACUCACGCUGUACCAGAGACAUCCCAGCCAACUGAACACGAGAGCAUUCCCCAGUAUUUUCCUCCUCCACCAUCCACAACAUUGAUGGCUUCACCUACUGCUACCUCAACAGCCACCAGACCUGAGGUCUCACGCAGUACCCAAUCUCGACCCCCUGCAUCAUCAGAUUUGUCCUCAUCGAUGAACAAUGAUGGAAGCUCAGCAAGCACAGGCUUGGACUCUUGUCAAGAGCCAAGUUUAGAGUCAAGUUUGCAUUCUGCACAGCGGCUCAAUGCAGGGACCCCAGAGGUAUUUUACAGAGUGACACGCUUGGAAUCAAUGAACAGGUAUUUUGUAGGUUUAGAAACAUGUACCAUGUGUGACACAGAAUUCUAUUCAAUUUCUGUUCUGUCCUCAACACUUGUGCUGUGACCUGUAUAUGGACAGAUAGUUCAACAGCCCUUUCUUAUUAACACUCUGGAGAAAGUUUUGUCCUUUAUGAAGGUUUGAACAUAAGAAGCUUUUUCUCCAGCAAAACUCUAUGGAAAAUACAGAAAGCAAAUAAAUGAUUUGUCACUUUUACUCUACGGACACCAAUGUGAAUGAAUAAGAAAUUAAGGAGAUCCACAUGCAUGAAUUAAAUCACAAUACAUCUGUAGAUAAAUCAAAAUGCAGCACAUCUAUGAUGCAAAUGGUUUGAGAGUCUGGAGUUCCAGUAUGUAAUUAUGAUUUGGGUAAUCUGAUUUUUAGGACUCGUGUGGAUGACUUUUUU